UUGGUAAUUCCAGCUCCAAAAGCGUAUAUUAAAGUUGUUGCAGUUAAAAAGCUCGUAGUUGAUUUUCGACGCAUCUGAGGGGUCCACUUCGGUGCGUACUCUGAGGGUGCGUUUUCUCUGGGGCGCCUUUUGGCAAGCCAGACUGUUACUUUGAAAAAAUUAGAGUGUUCAAAGCGGGCGAUAGCUUGAAUAUAUUAGCAUGGAAUAAUAGAGUAGGACGGAUGGAUCUAUUUUGUUGGUUUCUAGAACCAUCGUAAUGAUUAAUAGGGACGGUCGGGGGCAUCAGUAUUCAGUUGUCAGAGGUGAAAUUCUUGGAUUUACUGAAGACUAACUACUGCGAAAGCAUUUGCCAAGGACGUUUUCAUUAAUCAAGAACGAAAGUUAGGGGAUCGAAGACGAUCAGAUACCGUCGUAGUCUUAACCGUAAACUAUGCCGACUAGGGAUCGGAGGGCGUUAUAAUAACCUCUCCGGCACCUUACGAGAAAUCAAAGUUUUUGGGUUCUGGGGGGAGUAUGGUUGCAAGGCUGAAACUUAAAGGAAUUGACGGAAGGGCACCACCAGGAGUGGAGCCUGCGGCUUAAUUUGACUCAACACGGGGAAACUCACCAGGUCCAGACACAAUAAGGAUUGACAGAUUGAGAGCUCUUUCAUGAUUUUGUGGGUGGUGGUGCAUGGCCGUUCUUAGUUGGUGGAGUGAUUUGUCUGCUUAAUUGCGAUAACGAACGAGACCUUAACCUGCUAAAUAGCUGUAACAAUAGAUUAUUGUUUUGACAGCUUCUUAGAGGGACUAUCGAUUUUCAAGUCGAUGGAAGUUUGAGGCAAUAACAGGUCUGUGAUGCCCUUAGACGUUCUGGGCCGCACGCGCGCUACACUGACGGAGCCAGCGAGUCUAACCUGUGCCGAGAGGUAUGGGUAAUCUUGUGAAACUCCGUCGUGCUGGGGAUAGAGCAUUGCAAUUAUUGCUCUUCAACGAGGAAUUCCUAGUAAGCGCAAGUCACUAGCUUGCGUUGAUUACGUCCCUGCCCUUUGUACACACCGCCC
rnacentral:rRNA from 1 species